GACGAACGCUGGCGGCGUGCUUAACACAUGCCAGUCGAACGGUGAACCUCUUCGGAGGGGAUCAGUGGCGAACGGGUGAGUAACACGUGGGCAACCUGCCCCCGGCUCUGGGAUAACUCCAAGAAAUUGGGGCUAAUACCGGAUGUUCACCGCUUCCCGCAUGGGGGUGGGUGAAAGGGGUUUCGGCUGGGGAUGGGCCCGCGGCCUAUCAGCCUGUUGGUGGGGUAGUGGCCUACCAAGGCGACGACGGGUAGCCGGCCUGAGAGGGUGACCGGCCACACUGGGACUGAGACACGGCCCAGACUCCUACGGGAGGCAGCAGUGGGGAAUAUUGCGCAAUGGGCGGAAGCCUGACGCAGCGACGCCGCGUGGGGGAUGACGGCCUUCGGGUUGUAAACCUCUUUCAGCAGGGACGAAGCGCAAGUGACGGUACCUGCAGAAGAAGCACCGGCCAACUACGUG
rnacentral:rRNA from 1 species